rnacentral:snoRNA from 1 species
AAACACUGUCUUUGAACCUCAUGUCUUGUUUGUAGCUUCACUGGCCAAGCAACAGUGCUAGAGAAUAAGGACUUGUUGUAACUGGGGCUCUUCAGCUCUCAACUGCUCUAUUACAAACCUCAAUGUCCAGCU